rnacentral:rRNA from 1 species
AGUGAACGCUGGCGGCAGGCCUAACACAUGCAAGUCGAACGGCAGCACAGCAGUAGCAAUACUGUGGGUGGCGAGUGGCGGACGGGUGAGGAAUACAUGGGAAUCUACCCUGUCGUGGGGGAUAACGUAGGGAAACUUACGCUAAUACCGCAUACGACCGAGAGGUGAAAGCGGCGGACCGCAAGGCGUCGCGCGACUGGAUGAGCCCAUGUCGGAUUAGCAGUUGGCGGGGUAAAGGCCCACCAAGGCGACGAUCCGUAGCUGGUCUGAGAGGAUGAUCAGCCACACUGGAACUGAGACACGGUCCAGACUCCUACGGGAGGCAGCAGUGGGGAAUAUUGGACAAUGGGCGCAAGCCUGAUCCAGCCAUGCCGCGUGUGUGAAGAAGG